rnacentral:piRNA from 1 species
UGAAAAUUGGUGUCCUCGUUUACCUUGGA